rnacentral:tRNA from 2 species
GCCGGAGUAGCUCAGUUGGUUAGAGCAUCAGAAUCAUAAUCUGGGUGUCGGGGGUUCAAAUCCCUCCUCCGGUA